UUGCACGCUGGCGGCAGGCCUAACACAUGCAAGUCGAACGGUAACAGAAAGCAGCUUGCUGCUUUGCUGACGAGUGGCGGACGGGUGAGUAAUGUCUGGGAAACUGCCUGAUGGAGGGGGAUAACUACUGGAAACGGUAGCUAAUACCGCAUAACGUCGCAAGACCAAAGAGGGGGACCUUCGGGCCUCUUGCCAUCGGAUGUGCCCAGAUGGGAUUAGCUAGUAGGUGGGGUAAAGGCUCACCUAGGCGACGAUCCCUAGCUGGUCUGAGAGGAUGACCAGCCACACUGGAACUGAGACACGGUCCAGACUCCUACGGGAGGCAGCAGUGGGGAAUAUUGCACAAUGGGCGCAAGCCUGAUGCAGCCAUGCCGCGUGUAUGAAGAAGGCCUUCGGGUUGUAAAGUACUUUCAGCGGGGAGGAAGGGAGUAAAGUUAAUACCUUUGCUCAUUGACGUUACCCUCAGAAGAAGCACCGGCUAACUCCGUG
rnacentral:rRNA from 1 species